rnacentral:lncRNA from 1 species
GACCAAUGGCACAAAAAAAUGGUGACAAACAGGGAGGUCAGCAUAUGUCCCUGGAAGGACACCUUCUACAAGAGAAAGCACUCCAACUGAACACCUAUUUUCCACUGUCAGAUUUGCCAGUACUCCUUAAUAUCAUCACCAGAGCACCUCAAAUGUGCAGCUCAUACCUGGGCUGCAUAAGGCAGGAUAGGCUUUGCUCUGACACCAAGCAGACAGUGCAAAUCAAGGACAUGAGGUCAAGUUGAUCCUCCCGGGAGCUCCCCACAUUCAGCAGUGCUCCACCAGAAAUGUUUGGUGGCCCAAAUCGACAACUGGAAAACUGUUGUCUUCUGGAAAGAGGAACCUUAGACGAUAAUUUGCAGAUUGAUGGAGCAGAAGACCUCCGCAGAAACCCUGCUCUGGGGGACACAGGACUGCCCAGCAUUACUGGUCCCAGUCUCAUCCCUCCGGAGGAAAGGUUAAUGCCAGGCAGAGCUGCUGGGAGACAGGAUGCUUUGUAAACCGAUAGCGUUCCCUUUGAUCUGAGAGUGAGGGAAGGCAGAAACUUUUGCCGAUAACCCAUGGAAAGAGAGCAUGAAGGCUGAGCUUUAGCAGAGGUGGAAGAGGAACUUCUUUUUAAAGAUAAGUGUUUCAAAACCCCCAAGCUGAGCUCCCCAGGCAGAAGAUAUCUUCUCUACCCACAGUUUUAUUUCAGCUAGAUACAGUUUUCACGUGUGAAACCAUUCGAAAUUUAAGGGGAAAAAAGAAAAAAAAAAGCAUUAAAACAAGGCAAAUUCAAGGAAUUGCAGAGCAGAAUCCCAAGAGGUUCAAACUGAAGGUCAAAGUGCUAUUUUGUUUUUAUUAGCUGUGUCCUUUGGAAAAAAAACAAAAAACAAAAAAACAAAAAAACAAAAAAACACCUCUAAAGCGUCACGCUCAGCCCAUCAGACAAUGCCAUAAGGAAGGUCCCUAUCGAUCUGUCUGUGCAUUUCUAAGGACCCACAGAGCAGGGUCACAGUGGGGGACACUGCACCAGAGCUGUUUGACUCUCCUGAGCCAUCGGACAGCAGGAGCAGCCCUCACUCUGCACUGGUGCAAAUGCUGGAGUGAUGGCUUUGGAGGAAGAACUGAAAUAACUGUUACGGUUUGUGAAAAAAACAUUAGGAAAUCCCCCUUGUGCAGUGAAAUAACACUGCUGUGAUGAAGUCAGUCCGAUGUCAGCCACUGCACCCAACUCCUGUGGCAGGUACACGGGAAACAGCUCUG